rnacentral:rRNA from 1 species
GACGAACCGUGCGAACGUUAUUCGGAAUCACUGGGCGUAAAGCGUGCGCAGGCGGUUAUAUAAGACAGUUGUGAAAUCCCCGGGCUCAACCUGGGAACUGCAUCUGUGACUGUAUAGCUAGAGUACGGUAGAGGGGGGAUGGAAUUCCGCGUGUAGCAGUGAAAUGCGUAGAUAUGCGGAGGAACACCGAUGGCGAAGGCAAUCCCCUGGACCUGUACUGACGCUCAUGCACGAAAGCGUGGGGAGCAAACAGG